AACGCUAGCUACAGGCUUAACACAUGCAAGUCGAGGGGCAGCAUGAACAAAGCUUGCUUUGUUCGAUGGCGACCGGCGCACGGGUGAGUAACGCGUAUCCGACCUGCCCAUGACUCGGGCACAGCCGCUCGAAAGAGCGAUUGAUUCCCGAUAUGUCGUUAGAGUAGAUUUAAUGAUGAAAGAUUUAUCGGUCAUGGAUGGGGAUGCGUAGGAUUAGGUAGUAGGCGGGGUAACGGCCCACCUAGCCGACGAUCCUUAGGGGUUCUGAGAGGAAGGUCCCCCACACUGGUACUGAGACACGGACCAGACUCCUACGGGAGGCAGCAGUGAGGAAUAUUGGUCAAUGGGCGGAAGCCUGAACCAGCCAAGUAGCGUGAAGGAUUACUGCCCUACGGGUUUUAAACUUCUUUUAUGCGAGAGUAAUGUGCGCUACGUGUAGCGUAUUGCAAGUAUCGCAUGAAUAAGCAUCGGCUAACUCCGUGCCAGCAGCCGCGGUAAUACGGAGGAUGCGAGCGUUAUCCGGAUUUAUUGGGUUUAAAGGGAGCGUAGGCGGGUCAUUAAGUCAGUCGUCAAAGUUUGUGGCUCAACCACAGCCCGCGAUUGAUACUGGUGACCUUGAGUGCGGAUGAGGUGGAUGGAAUUCGUGGUGUUGCGGUGAAAUGCUUAGAUAUCACGAAGAACUCCGAUUG
rnacentral:rRNA from 1 species